rnacentral:sRNA from 1 species
CCCAAGCAUGGUGGUGUAUGCCUGUAAUCCCAGCAGCUUGGGAGGGUGAGGCAGGAGGAUCCUGAGUUCAUGGUCAGCUUCAGCAAUUUAGCAAAUCCCUGAGCAACUCAGCAAGACCCUGUUUCUA